UCUCAUUUCUAACAUUAAACCUUAACCCCCUUUCUCCCUACCUAGCUCCCAAUUACAAACUCUUUCUUACGCAAUUUGUUAUAAUCACAGCGCUCAAACAACACAAAAUAAAGAGAUGGGCUUGAUUUCAACAGUUCUUCUGUUCCAGUAUUCCAUGAAAUUUACUGCAAUCAAACGAAAGCAACACUCUCUGAUUCUUCUAAUUGCCUAAAAUUGAAGGAAUGGAAGAAACAGGGCUGAAGCAAGAUCCACUACCCAAAAA